rnacentral:lncRNA from 1 species
CUCUUCAAACCCAACAGACCAAACCAUUUUUUUGCUCUUGUGCUCUCGUAGCGCUGCCCACCCGGAGCGAACCAAUAACCAAAAAGAAGGGAGUAGGUCCCGCGUCAGCGAGACCAAACCCGAGGCCAUUUUUUUCCAUUGCACAAAACAUUCCGUGCGCGCGCGUCCCAUGGCCUCUCUCCCUCUUUCUCUCCUUUUUGGUGGCCAAAGGAAAAGCGCAGGAUGCACGCGCGAGUACACAGAGAUGGGCGCAGGUGUCUCUGAUUUCCUUGUCAUAAGGCCAACAAAAAAGAGGAGAUAAAAAACACAAGGCCCUAAAGAAUGACGAGGAGAAGAGGGAGGCCAUCGAUGCGAUCGCGCACUAGGGUCGCGCCGCGUAGCGUCUCAAUCCCGUGCUGUGGCCCGAUUCGACCAUGGCCCACAGCGCCUCGCGCGACACGAGCCUAUCGGUGGGCACCCAAUAGGCGCUGCCGUCCCUGGAGAGGUAGCGAGGGUCAAAGACGACGCCGGCCGGGACAAACCCUUCAAAGCGCAGCACGGGCGCCGGCAGGUCGGGCGAAUCGAGCGGCUUGCCCGCCUCAUAGUUGACAUAGACAAAGAGCGCGUAGAGGUCGGGCCGAUUGGCGCCCUUGCGCGCACCGACGCGCAGUUUGCCCGUGUCGGCGUUGCUCACUUUGACGUCGAUUCUCCACAUCUCGGGGCGCAAGGUGCCGUCAAAUCCCUUUUCGGUGAGGCCGCUGCGACACGACGGCUCCAAAAGCGGUUUCAUAGACAUGCCAAAGAGGCGCGCCAGCAUAAACUCGCCAAAGUAGCCUUGGAUGGAGAUGUCGGCCGACGUGCGAUUGACCGCCUCGCGGCGGUCCACGACCUUUGCGGCGCGAUUCUGACGAUAGGCCUCGAGGCCGCUCGCUACCGACGCCUUGAGGUGUGCGUCGGUCGUGACGUGGAGGCUGCCCAGGGGCACACGCGUCGCGCCACCCGUAUCGCAGCGAGCCACGGGCGAGGGCGCGGCGGCUGUCGAGAGACGCGGACGCGCUGUGCUGUGCGCGAUCCAACGCGCACGACGGCAAGGCGCAACGCACUUGCCGCUGUUGACGGACGACAUGGACAGGUGUCGGCAACGGUCGAGCAGACGCGUCCUUUUCUCCUGAGCGAUGCUCGUGCACGCUGUCUUUUGCAUCAUCGCCGCGUGUUCGUGCGUGCGUAUGCGAGGCAACGAUGGUUUUGUUGUAUCGGCGGCAACGGCGGUGGCAAACACAGGCGCCGGUGUUGUUGGGAUGGCAAAAAGACUGUGCCUUUUUCCCGAG